rnacentral:rRNA from 1 species
CUACGGGUUGCUCCAGUGAGGAAUAUUGCACAAUGGGGGGAACCCUGAUGCAGCAACGCCGCGUGGAGGAUGACGCAUUUCGGUGUGUAAACUCCUUUUAUAUGUCAAGAAAAUGACGGUAGCAUAUGAAUAAGCACCGGCUAACUCCGUGCCAGCAGCCGCGGUAAUACGGAGGGUGCAAGCGUUACUCGGAAUCACUGGGCGUAAAGGACGCGUAGGCGGGUUGGAAAGUCAGGUGUGAAAUCCUACAGCUUAACUGUAGAACUGCACUUGAAACUUCUAGUCUAGAGUAUGGGAGGGGGGGAUGGAAUUAGUGGUGUAGGGGUAAAAUCCGUAGAUAUCACUAGGAAUACCUAAAGCGAAGGCGAUCUCCUGGAACAUUACUGACGCUAAGGCGUGAAAGCGUGGGGAGCAAACAGGAUUAGAUACCCUUGUAGUC